GUCGACACUGCCGAUACGCAGAUCUCAAAUCUAAGAUGUCAAUAGUGAAGCUCCUUGAGCUAAUGACAUAAGGUGAUGUGACGUCAAAGUAAGGUGACGACAAAAAGGAAAAAGAGCAGACGACAGCGUGUCAGAGAAAGGAGCACCAACAUGGCCGUGGCCAUUGCUCUAGUUGCGCACCUGCUGACGGUUCCUGCUUUUAUUUGAGUGCUGGACGGUUGUCAUCAGUCCACAACACCACACCACUCGGUUACAGUUGGACAAACAUUUUUCAGACUUUCGGAUCUCAAUCGACUUUCCCGUUAUAACAAAUCUCAUUCCGAUGUGGACUGUCGUAGUGAGUUGUGAUCACUGGUGUGAAUCCCAGCCAAGUAACAACACAAUAAGCGAGAGGAGGUCGACUUCACUCCCAGUAUAUGUAUUCCCCUUUUUGCUCCAUGGAUCUUCUCAACUACAUCUUGAUAACUCAUUCUUCCUGCGUUUCAGAAAUGACGAUUGCGUCAGUUGUUGUUGUCUCUCUCGACCACAGGAAAAGGAGUGUUGCAGUUACAUGUGAAGGUUUCCCGCUGGUAUAGUGAUGAUGCUUGCCGGCUUGUCAAAUAACGAGGCCGCUC